CCCCCCCAGCUGAUGGCUGGCCCCCGGCUCCCGCAGGCCGUGCCCGCCCACUCACUGCUGCUCGGCCUUGGCGCGGUCGCCCAGGAAGAAGAGGGCCGUGGCCAGGAAGAACAUGCCGCCCAGGACCACCACGAAGGGGCAGAGCAUGAGGGCGUAGCCCAGGCUCAGGAACUCCCAGAGUGGGGAGUCCUUGGUGCUCUGGCGGAUCAGGUCCGAGAUCUGCGAGGGCGGGGCCGCGUCAGGGGGCGCCUCCCGCAGCCUCCCCACCUGGCUCGCCCGUACUCACAAAGCCGAUGAGAUGCAGAUCUGCCCAGGAGAGAGUGGAGCAUCCAGUCAGGGACCUCACGAGGCUGCCGACAGGGAGCCCCUCACCUGCCACCACCUCCCGGAGCCUGCACUCCUGCCACGCAGGCGCCCACGAUGCUACUCUUGGCAGCCACGAAAAUGAGGCAGAUGAAGAUGGCAGAGCCCAGCAUGCCCACGGCGCACACCAGCGGGUCAGCCCGCUGAGUCCGCAGGCGGCACCAGCGCGUGGCUCCUGCCCCCGUGACCACGCCCAGGAAGCCAGUAAAGCAGCUUCCGCUCGUCCGCGAGACUGGGGAUCUCUGCUUCCUCUGAUUGCGGCAUCCUGGGGCCUCGGCAGACCGGCCUGACCCCCCACCCCAGGACAGGAAGGGGCCCCAGACCCCGGGACCCCCGCACACGGGCCGGAGCAGAUGCAGGGCCUCCUGACACGUGGGAGGGUGUCCCCCAAUUGAUGGCCGCUGGACACCUGGGCCCCCCCGACGCCCCUGGGACACACGUGGGGGUCCGGCCCCCGAGGUGGAUGGCCUGGGGCUCAGGGCGGGCUGGGGGGUCCUUACCCGCAGGGCCCAGUGCCAAUCUCCGGCUGCCUGCUUGACGCUGGAGCCUGUGAUGUAGCCCAGGCCGCUGCAGAGGACACGGGUUCAGGCACGGGUGACGGAGCUCUUGGGGGGGGCCCACCAUGGCUCCAAGGCCAGCCACCGCAUGCUCGAGCGCCAACCUCAGAUGAGGUGGGGGGGAUGUCUGCAGGGACCUCACCCGACCUCACCUGCCCAGCGGGAUGGCAAAGUAAAACACGGAAAGCAUGAGCGUGCGCGUGUUCUUGGUGAAGAGGUCGCCGAUGAUGGUGGGCGCGAUGGUGGAGUAGCUGGCCUCGCCGAUGCCCACCAGCCCCCGCGACAGCACCAGCAGCCAGAAGUGCU